rnacentral:rRNA from 1 species
GACGUAGGGUGCGAGCGUUGUCCGGAUUUAUUGGGCGUAAAGGGUUCGUAGGUGGUUCAUUAAGUUUGGUGUUAAAGACCGGGGCUCAACCUCGGGACCGCACUGGAUACUGGUGGACUAGAGUGCAGUAGAGGCAAGCGGAAUUCCAGGUGUAGCGGUGAAAUGCGUAGAUAUCUGGAAGAACACCGAUGGCGAAGGCAAUGUUCUGGCUCGUGUCUGACGCUCAGGUGCGAAAGCGAGGGGAGCGAACGGG